rnacentral:rRNA from 1 species
GACGAACGCUGGCGGCGUGCUUAACACAUGCAAGUCGAACGGAGAGGCCCUUCGGGGUACUCGAGUGGCGAACGGGUGAGUAACACGUGGGUGAUCUGCCCUGCACUUUGGGAUAAGCCUGGGAAACUGGGUCUAAUACCGAAUAGGACCACGCGCUUCAUGGUGUGUGGUGGAAAGCUUUUGCGGUGUGGGAUGGGCCCGCGGCCUAUCAGCUUGUUGGUGGGGUAAUGGCCUACCAAGGCGACGACGGGUAGCCGGCCUGAGAGGGUGACCGGCCACACUGGGACUGAGAUACGGCCCAGACUCCUACGGGAGGCAGCAGUGGGGAAUAUUGCACAAUGGGCGCAAGCCUGAUGCAGCGACGCCGCGUGAGGGAUGACGGCCUUCGGGUUGUAAACCUCUUUCAAUAGGGACGAAGCGCAAGUGACGGUACCUAUAGAAGAAGCACCGGCCAACUACGUG